AUGAUGGGUGAUUUUGUCCUUGUGCGUAUGGUGACCGAGCCUGAAUGACUUCUGAGGCCAUAGAUGGAACGGCCGAUGGGCAGCUUUGUUUACCUUCAAGACCGAGUGGUGCUGUGAGUUUGCUGAAAGCAACAACAGGACAGAAAAUAUGGGAUGUGGGCCUUGGAAGGACCAGCUGAUGAAAAAAUCAACGCCUGUGCUGCACAGUAAGGCUUCUGGCAGACCUGAAAGCAUAGAUUGAUAUGGUGCCUGCCUGUUGGAAUAGCUCGCUUCCCUGAAAGAAGCUAGGUGCUGAAAAGUACUUGACUAGCCUACCCGCAUUGUCAUUGUGACAGUCUGCAUCACCAUUUGGCCUAUUUUGGGAUCCCACAAGACACGCUGCUACCCUGGGUGUUGUACCUCGGUCAAUUGCUGAAGUUCUGCAAGCCCCAUUGAAGCCAACUGUCAUCCGCAUCCAAUGGAAGAAACUCAUUGUUCGGGCUGUCAUAAUUUAUCUUAAGCUGAAGCUAGAAGCAGGGUAGAAACAGCAUAUAUUCUACAAGAAUUUACCACUGCAUGCCGUCGGGUGGCUACACCCGACAGACUACUGUCUUGAAGAGAGAUGGUGUUUUAUUCAAGAAUAUGUUUGUCAGCAGUACUACUUCUUCUGUUUAUAUCCUUGGAAACAAACAAGCGAAGACACCAAAGACAACAGAGGAGAAAUUACUUCUGCUUACUAAUUGAAUUAAAGCAAUGACAAAUUAAUGGCAAUGAAAGUGGUUGAGAAAACUUGCCAUAGGCGUGCGAUGCUGUAACCAAUGGAGCUACCGCGGCACCGUUUUCCCAUCCACUUUCUUGUGUAUUUAUAUUUUACUACUAGAACUAACUACUACUACUACUUCUACAGCUACAUCAUUUCGCACCUGCGGCAAGUUGUUUUUUCAUCCACUUUCUUUGCCAUUAAUUUAUUAUUUCUUUAAUUCAAUUAGUAAGUACAAGUAAUUUCACUUAUGUUGUCUUUGGUGACUUUGCUUGUUGGCUUCUCAUGAUAUGAUUAUUAAAAAUCGCGCCCCUCAGUCAACCCCC